rnacentral:rRNA from 1 species
AAUCAACGCUGGCGGCGUGCCUCAGACAUGCAAGUCGAACGAUUAAAGCUCUCUUCGGAGAGUGCAUAGAGUGGCGCACGGGUGAGUAACACGUAAGUAAUCUACCCUCGAGUGGGGAAUAACGUCCGGAAACGGACGCUAAUACCGCAUAAUGCAGCGGCACCGCAAGGUGACAGUUGUUAAAGGAGAAAUUCGCUUGAGGAGGAGCUUGCGGCAGAUUAGCUUGUUGGUAAGGUAACGGCUUACCAAGGCUACGAUCUGUAAUCGGUCUUAGAGGACGGUCGGUCACACUGACACUGAAUAACGGGUCAGACUCCUACGGGAGGCAGCAGUCGGGAAUUUGGGCAAUGGGCGAAAGCCUGACCCAGCAACGCCGCGUGAAGGAUGAAGUAUUUCGGUAUGUAAACUUCGAAAGAAUAGGAAGAAUAAAUGACGGUACUAUUUAUAAGGUCCGGCUAACUACGUGCCAGCCGCCGCCGU